rnacentral:rRNA from 1 species
CGUUGAUUACGUCCCUGCCCUUUGUACACACCGCCCGUCGCUACUACCGAUUGAAUGGCUCAGUGAGGCGUCCGGACUGGCCCAGAGAGGUGGGCAACUACCCCUCAGGGCCGGAAAGCUCUCCAAACUCGGUCAUUUAGAGGAAGUAAAAAUAAGAACAAG